AACGAACGCUGGCGGCAUGCCUAACACAUGCAAGUCGAACGAGACCUUCGGGUCUAGUGGCGCACGGGUUCGUAACGCGUGGGAACCUGCCCUUAGGUUCGGAAUAACUCCCCGAAAGGGGUGCUAAUACCGGAUAAUGUCUUCGGACCAAAGAUUUAUCGCCUUUGGAUGGGCCCGCGUUGGAUUAGCUAGUUGGUAGGGUAAAAGCCUACCAAGGCGACGAUCCAUAGCUGGUCUGAGAGGAUGAUCAGCCACACUGGGACUGAGACACGGCCCAGACUCCUACGGGAGGCAGCAGUAGGGAAUAUUGGACAAUGGGCGAAAGCCUGAUCCAGCAAUGCCGCGUGAGUGAUGAAGGCCUUAGGGUUGUAAAGCUCUUUUACCCGGGAUGAUAAUGACAGUACCGGGAGAAUAAGCUCCGGCUAACUCCGUG
rnacentral:rRNA from 1 species